rnacentral:rRNA from 1 species
AACGAACGCUGGCGGCAUGCCUAACACAUGCAAGUCGAACGAAACCUUCGGGUUUAUUGGCCCACGGGUGCGUAACGCGGGGGAAGCGGCCCUUAGGUACGGAAUAACUCUCCUAAAGGGGUGCUAAUAUCGGAAAAUGUAUCCGAACCAAACAUACAUUGCCUUUGGAAGGGCAAGCGUUUAAUUAGCUAGUUGGGGGGGUAAAGGCCUACGAAGGGUACGAGGUUUAGAUGCUGUGAGGGUAUGAUCACCCAGACUGGCACUGAGAAACGGCACAGACUCUUACGGGAGGCAGCAGUCGGGAAUCUUCCGCGAAGGGGGAAUGGCUGAUGUAGCAACAUCGCGUGAGUGAUGAAGGAUCUCGGCCCGUAAAGCGAUGUUGUUAGUAAAGAAGUAAAGCGCUUUUACCCGGGAUGAUAAUGACGGUACCGAAAGAAUAAGCCCCGGCUAACUACGUG